rnacentral:RNase_P_RNA from 1 species
GGAGAAGGUCGGGCGGUCGCCGCCAAAGCCCUUCGGGGUCGAGGGGGAGGAAAGUCCGAACACCACAGGGCAGCGAGCCAGCUAACGGCUGGGCGCGGGGCGGUCAAGGGCUGCGAGAGCAGACGCUUCGGCGGUCGCGUGACGACAAGUGCAACAGAGAACAGACCAGCCAGCGGGCUUCGGGUCUUUCGGGACUUGGAGGCAGCGGGUGAUGGGUGAAACGGUGCGGCCCCUUGCGGGGCUUAAAGUAAGAGCGCACCGGCGCGCGUGGCGACACGCGCGGCCAGGCAAACUCCUCGCGGUGCAAGACCAAAUAGGGAGAUCGUCAAACAGGGCUGCUCGCCCGAUGCGCGCGUCUUCGGGCGCGCGCGACGCCUCCGGGUAGGUCGCUUGAGCCGUUUGGUAACGAACGGCCUAGAGGAAUGAUCGUCGCCCCGAACCAGUUUCGGGGAACAGAAUUCGGCUUACAGACCUUCUCUCAAA